ensembl:lncRNA
UUUUAUUAUCCAGGGUCAAAGCUGCAACGGGCUGCCUUGAUGAUACAUGUUUUUCUUGAGUGACCAUUUGAAGAAGGGGUCCAAUUCUUAAAAUGUUGAUUGUUAAAUAACUUAACAGGUAAAUUGAGAGAGCUCUAGUGAAUGCACUCAGCUAAAAAGCAGCUUCACAUUCACUGUAAGGUUACGCUUAAGCAACAUUUUUUCUCGAGUGAGUUUAUAGUUUAUUAUAUAUGUAUAUUGGAUAUUUCAUUUGAAUAAUUCGUUUUCAUCAUAUCAUUAUAGCAAUCAAUAAAAUGAAUACAAAUCACAAAAAUCCAAUCAAAUCAAGGUGUUAGUUGCAUAGCCUAUAACCUAAUGGGGACAUGACAAAAAUGAUACGACAAAAAUGGCCCUCGAAAAGGUGCAGACAUUGAAAAAAAAUAUCUCUGUGCUGAAACCACGAUUGAUGUCUGAAAAAGAGAUCCCAUUUUCUAUAUAUUAUAUAAAGGCCUGUAUGUAACAGGAUAUAUAUUAUAUAUAUAUUAUACUGUACAUAUUAUAUAAAGCCUGUCUAUAUGGAGGAGGGCUUCUAUUUGGCUCAGCCUACGGCUGGGAAGGGCGACAUUGCGUCUUAUUGCCGGUGCGGUUGUCGCCAGCUAAUAAUUGUGCUUGGAUCAGGUGCGACCCACGCGCUGGGUGGAAUGAGCGGUUGCUAUGAAUGAUGCUGGCAGCUGGAAGAGUCAUUUCCACCCCGCUACUCGGCGUGCCUUGCACACCUGCUGCAAAUUAAUUUACUGACAGAAUGGAUGAGGUGACACCAUAGGGUGAGUCGGGUCGGAUGCCAAACAUGCCGAAAGAGUAGGGGGGGGAGAUUAGCUAUUUGGUAGGCUAUUUGGAGAAGAAACAAGACUCUCACGGAGCGAAAUGACCCAGCUUUGAGUUCGAAUGAUGAAUUGUGUUGAAGCAAGGAGUGGUCUAUGUUUGAAUAUUAUCAGAUCUAUAAUUAGAUUAUCAGAUCUAUACAUCUGUUACUUCUUUAGAACUCCGAGAUGGGCUCCCCCUAUAAACAGGCGUAGCCCAUUGAUGCUGGCCUCUAGAAAGUUCCAUGUUAUUGAUAUGUGUAAACAGAUGUUUUUUUGUAAGACUGAACGCAAAUCUUUUUAAAAACAUUGUUGCAGGUAGAUAUUUCUCUUGAGUAAACAUAAACAACAAACAGCAGUGUUUAUCUUCCUUCUGGACCGUGGAUCCUAAAAGACAUACCCAAGCAGAGUAAAAACUACUUUAUUCUUUCAUUCUCAUCAGAUGGAAACCUUGAAAAAUGUUGCACUAGUAAACAUGUUGAUCUUUAGAAAUCUCCCUUAGAAACUUGUGAUGCACAGAUUAGUGAGGUGGUCCACGGUGAACAUGGGAUCAACAUAAGUGGGAAGGGAAGAAAUUACUCAAGCCUACAUGCCCUGACAAUAAUAAUGAUAAUACCAAGAUAAAAUAAUACAGAAGUAUAUGCAUAAGUCAGCCCAUGUUCUGUAAAUGGAACAAAAUAAACCAUGCUUUAAAGUUUAUGGUAUGCUAAUCUUCGAUGGUCAGAACAAGUUGGACUUUGCUAAACGUCCUGGGUAUAUUUUGGAAAAACUUUUUCUUUACUUUGGUAGCCAUGGUAGCAGUGAGCAUCUAUGUAUGUACUGUAUAUGCCUGUAAAUAUUUAUAUAUGUGUGUGUGUGUGUGUGUGUGUGUGUGUGUGUGUGUGUGUGUGUGUGUGUGUGUGUGUGUGUGUGUGUGUGUGUGUGUGUGUGUGUGUGUGUGUGAGUGUGUGCAGUUAUCGAUGUAGUUACCAAUACAUAUAGCCCUUUGCACACCCUAAACGGUGAAACAGCUCUUUCCUAAUCUAAUCUUGUAUUUAUACCGUAUGAAAAAUUUAUGAGUACGUAGAUCUGCGGUGAUAUCAGAGUAUGUAACCAUGGUAACUGGUCUGUAUUCUGUUAAAGCUGUCAGUUUUACAUCUCCUAGCAACAGGAUUUAGGACACCCUGUAAUAUUCAUGUGAAGGAUAACUAUAAUAAUUAAAUCUCUCUUUUUAAUUUAAACUAGAUCUUCUCUGUACAAAUACAUAGUUACACACAUUGGCACCCCAAUUACUUUGUCUUCAUCAAUCUAUAUAAAGUAUUUACAAUAUAUUCUGCGGUGCGAAUGUAUAACAGGAUAUAGGCCUUUACAUUGUUGUUUUUUCAGGUAGAUGAUUUACAAUUACCAAACAUCCUGUAAAUCGUUCUAUGGAAGAAGCAGAUGGCAUGUAAUUUAUCUCUUAAAUCAAUAAUGUUCAAAAUAACAUCUACAUUAUGUUUCAGGUGGUGAGUAAAUUGGUGAGUUUGGGUCAAACUCAUGGUCAAAAAAGUAAUAGUCAAAUGUUAAGAGGUUUUGUCCAAAUUGAUUGAUCUCAAUCAGAAUAUAUUUUCUUUCUCAUUCCUCACAUAAAAAUGCCAUACAUUUGCUGCUUAUCAUCUCUAAAAUGCAAAUAUUGAGUUAGUCUUGGCUGCUCAAAAGACAAAUGUAUGGCAUCACUUUGGGCUUUUGGAAUUUGAUAGACCUAAUUAACUUAUUAAUCAACACAAACAAUGGCUAGAUUCAUUGACACGGAUGCAGGAAUCAUACGUAGCUGUUGGCAGGCCUCUUCCUAUAUCCCACCAAAGCGCGUUCCAUAAAUGUAAGAACCUUCCUUAAAUGUGACACCAUUCCCAAUUUCCCCAAAGGUAUUUUCCCAAAACAUGCUUAGACAUGACCGUGGACUGAUAUGUCGAUGCGGCUGACGGAGGUCCGCUGAAACAAGCUAUAAUCAUGAAACAAACACAAUGUUGUAUGAUUGUCAUCAGGAUAUGUUUUCGUGAAGCCAGUCAGGUUACUCAAGGGUGCAGCUAUAACCCAUAUCCAGUCUGUACAACUCAGGGGAAGCGACGUUAGCCAUGGCAGCCGCAAGAUGUUCAGCACUCGUGCUCCCUGAAGACGAGUGAGUGUUCCGCCUCCUCAUUUAUUCAGGCGGUCCAGAGUCUCUUGUGAUGGGUUCAGACCGUGUGCACGGGGCUUUCAUGUACUGAGGAGCAGGUUCACACAACGUUAGGGCCGGUGGGUCCCAAAAGUUCUUCCUUUCUCUUGAUCGCCACUUAUCUUGGAUUUAAAUUAACACACCUUCAAGGCUACCAGACAUCCAUGUGGGGAAUUUGCCAUACCCAGGUUUCUUUUCAAAUAAAGACAGUCUGUAAAAUACAGACUCACAAUGUGGUUGGUUCAACCGACGACAAGCACAGUUAGACUAUACCUAAUUUGUCUUUUAGGAAUGGUAUCAAAACUACGCAUCUCUGGACCUUUCCAAUAAAUAACAUGAAGAGAAUCUUUUUGGUUUGUCUUUUUUCUUUUUCUAUCCCUCAUUUGUGUUUGUGUGUGUGUGUGUGUGUGUGUGUGUGUGUGUGUGUGUGUGUGUGUGUGUGUGUGUGUGUGUGUGUGUGUGUGUGUGUGUGUGUGUGUGUGUGUGUGUGUGUGUGUGUGUGUGUGUGUGUGUGUGUGUGUGCGUUUGUCCGUGUGCAUAAAUACAAACUUGAGGAUGUUUGCAGAAUGAUGUACUCAUCCCUCUGUGUCUGGGUUUGUGUGUGUGUGUGUGUGUGUGUGUGUGUGUGUGUGUGCGCAUGCUUAUGUGCAUGUAUUUGAGGGCGUGUGUAUGAGCACGUGUGUGCAUGUGGUUGUGUCUGUGCCCCCCCAUGUGUUCAGACGAUGCUGGGAGCCGCUGGAGUUGCGGCGGCGGCUGAAGGGCAGCGUGUGAUGCAGGGGCGUGGGCGAGUCGGGGGCAGAACUGGUGGGGUGGUUGUAGGGCGGUGGGGGCGGGGGCAGCGGCGGCUGGGGGCCGUCCCCCGUGUCGCGGACGCGCACCGGGGUGGACAUGGCGGACUGGAUGAGGCGGUGGGACGCAGGCGUCUGGCUCAGGAAGGCCUCCAUCCGGCCCCGCCCGCUCUGGUCCACCACGAUCACCUUGACGAUCUGCUGGCACUGGAUCAGGGUCUCGGGGCGGAGCUCCCCGGGCUGGGCGGGGCCGAGCAGGGCCGGGGGCGCGGCCAGCGCCAGCGCGGUGGACUCAAUGCUGGGCUGGCUCAGUUGGUAUGUCUGCAGCCUGUUGUGAAUUGACACCUAGUUUAGGAACAGUCAGAGAACGCACGGGGAGUUAGCAGCCUGAACGCAGCCUCUACGAAGCCCCCUGGGGGCUGGGACGGGCAGCAUGCGUGGCGCGCACGGGAAGCACAGGCAGGGAGACAGGCGCACAGAGAGAGACAGGCGCACAGAGAGAGACAGGCAGAGAGACAGGAGCACAGGCAGAGAGACAGGGCGCGGCGUGCGUACGCACACAGACACGCACCACCGGACGCACUAGCAGAGACACAACAGCCCUUAGGGGGCGUUGCUAAGCUAACGGGGUGUUGCUAAGAUAAUGGGAGGUUGUGUAGCCACUGAGGGUGUUGCUAAGAAAAGUCGUUGCUAAACUUGCUUAGCUAAUGGCAAGCUUACUUAGCUUUGCUAGGCUAACGAGGAUUUUGCUAAGCUAACGAGGGUUGCUGCUAAGCUAACAGAGGGUUGCUGCUAAGCUAACAGAGGGUUGCUGCUAAGCUAACAGAGGGGUGCUGCUAAGCUAACGAGGGGUUGCUGCUAGGCUAACAGAGGGUUGCUGCUACGCUAACGAGGGUGCUGCUAAGCUAACAGAGGGGUGCUGCUACACCAACAGAGGGUUGCUCCGUUAACGAGGGGCUGCUCGUGCUUCGCAGCGCGGCGGGCGUCAGAGGAGGAGGGGGCAGACUCCGCCCUGCGAUGGAGACGGGGCUGAGCGUGGAGCCCGAGGGGGACAGCGCCAGCCUCCCUGCCGUGGCUCAACCCUUUCAUUCCCCUCGCAUCCCGGGCUCCUCAGAGCGGGUGAAGGGGUGGGAGAGUGGGGUGGGGGGCCUCGGGCAGGGCUCUUAUAAAGCCAAGCAUAUCAAAGCACUACAGCCCUACCCCCCCCCC